GGUCAUGAGUGCCAGCGCGAAGCCCCGGCUUGCUGGCCGGCAACCCUCCUACCGCGGUGGGGUGCCCCGGGUGAAGACCGGGCCGGUCGCGCCGUGCGACGGGCAAGCGCGGGCC
rnacentral:ncRNA from 2 species